rnacentral:lncRNA from 1 species
UGGGAGGGGAAAAGGGGAAUGGGGAAGGCAUGUAACUUUAAUCCGUUUACCUCAAAGAAACAGGUUAGCAAAUGAAAACUAGCCUGAAUACAUAGACUAGCUAUUUAUAUGUACAUGUACAAUUAUAUUAAAUCCAUUGUGGAUUCUGAUCUAAGUCAUAGAAUACAAAGACUUAUAAUGAACAGAACAUGUCCAAAUAUUC